rnacentral:misc_RNA from 1 species
GGACUACCCGGGUUUCUAAUCCCGUUCGCUACCCUAGCUUUCGUGCCUCAGCGUCAGUUAUGCCCCAGUGUGUCGCUUUCGCCACCGGCGUUCCUUCCGAUAUCAACACAUUUCACCGCUCCACCGGAAGUUCCACACACCCCUAGCACACUCAAGCCAUCCGGUUUCCAACGCAAUUUCACGGUUGAGCCGUGAGAUUUCACAUCAGACCUGAAUGGCCGCCUACGCACCCUUUAAGCCCAGUGAUUCCGAAUAACGUUCGCCCAGUACGUAUUACCGCGGCUGCUGGCACU